AUUGGGAUUAAUACUCCAUAAUAUAUAGAAUUCGCAUGUUUUCUAUAUUAAAGCUUUGGCGAUUGAAGAUGGGCAUGCGUGACAUUAGCUAGUUGGUGAGGUAAGGGCUCACCAAGGCAACGAUGUUUAGGGGUUCUGAGAGGAUUAUCCCCCACACUGGUACUGAGACACGGACCAGACUCCUACGGGAGGCAGCAGUGAGGAAUAUUGGGCAAUGGGUGAAAGCCUGACCCAGCCAUGCCGCGUGCAGGAUUGACGGCCCUAUGGGUUGUAAACUGCUUUUGUACGGGAAGAAACCCUCGAACUUGUUCGAGGUUGACGGUACCGUACGAAUAAGCAUCGGCUAACUCCGUGCCAGCAGCCGCGGUAAUACGGAGGAUGCAAGCGUUAUCCGGAUUUAUUGGGUUUAAAGGGUGCGUAGGCGGGACAGUAAGUCAGUGGUGAAAGCCUGCAGCUUAACUGCAGAAUUGCCAUUGAAACUGCUGUUCUUGAGUACAGUUGAAGUGGAUGGAAUGUGUUAUGUAGCGGUGAAAUGCAUAGAUAUGACACAGAACACCGAUAGCGAAGGCAGUUCACUAAACUGUAACUGACGCUGAGGCACGAAAGCGUGGGUAGCAAACAGGAUUAGAUACCCUGGUAGUCCACGCCGUAAACGAUGAUUACUCGAUGUGUGCGAUAAACAGUACGCGUCCAAGCGAAAGUGUUUAGUAAUCCACCUGGGAAGUACGUCCGCAAGGAUGAAACUCAAAGGAAUUGACGGGGGCCCGCACAAGCGGAGGAGCAUGUGGUUUAAUUCGAUGAUACGCGAGGAACCUUACCUGGGCUUAAAUGCAGAACGACGUACUGGGAAACCAGUAUUUCUUCGGACGGACUGCAAGGUGCUGCAUGGUUGUCGUCAGCUCGUGCCGUGAGGUGUCGGGUUAAGUCCCAUAACGAGCGCAACCCUUAUCUUUAGUUGCCAGCAUGUAAUGAUGGGGACUCUAAAGAAACUGCCUACGCAAGUAGUGAGGAAGGUGGGGAUGACGUCAAAUCAGCACGGCCCUUAUGUCCAGGGCUACACACGUGCUACAAUGGCUGGUACGGAGGGCAGCUACCUGGU
rnacentral:rRNA from 1 species